rnacentral:rRNA from 1 species
AGAGUUUGAUCCUGGCUCAGGACGAACGCUGGCGGCGUGCCUAAUACAUGCAAGUCGAGCGGAUCUUCAAAAGCUUGCUUUUGAAGAUUAGCGGCGGACGGGUGAGUAACACGUGGGCAACCUGCCUGUAAGACUGGGAUAACUUCGGGAAACCGGAGCUAAUACCGGAUAAUCCACUCCCUCACAUGAGGGAGUGCUGAAAGACGGCGCAAGCUGUCACUUACAGAUGGGCCCGCGGCGCAUUAGCUAGUUGGUGAGGUAACGGCUCACCAAGGCGACGAUGCGUAGCCGACCUGAGAGGGUGAUCGGCCACACUGGGACUGAGACACGGCCCAGACUCCUACGGGAGGCAGCAGUAGGGAAUCUUCCGCAAUGGACGAAAGUCUGACGGAGCAACGCCGCGUGAGCGAAGAAGGCCUUCGGGUCGUAAAGCUCUGUUGUCAGUGAAGAACAAGUACCGGAGUAACUGCCGGUACCUUGACGGUACCUGACCAGAAAGCCACGGCUAACUACGUGCCAGCAGCCGCGGUAAUACGUAGGUGGCAAGCGUUGUCCGGAAUUAUUGGGCGUAAAGCGCGCGCAGGCGGUUCCUUAAGUCUGAUGUGAAAGCCCACGGCUCAACCGUGGAGGGUCAUUGGAAACUGGGGAACUUGAGUGCAGAAGAGAAGAGCGGAAUUCCACGUGUAGCGGUGAAAUGCGUAGAGAUGUGGAGGAACACCAGUGGCGAAAGGCGGCUCUUUGGUCUGUAACUGACGCUGAGGCGCGAAAGCGUGGGGAGCGAACAGGAUUAGAUACCCUGGUAGUCCACGCCGUAAACGAUGAGUGCUAAGUGUUAGAGGGUUUCCGCCCUUUAGUGCUGCAGCAAACGCAUUAAGCACUCCGCCUGGGGAGUACGGCCGCAAGGCUGAAACUCAAAGGAAUUGACGGGGGCCCGCACAAGCGGUGGAGCAUGUGGUUUAAUUCGAAGCAACGCGAAGAACCUUACCAGGUCUUGACAUCCUCUGACACUCCUAGAGAUAGGAAUUUCCCCUUCGGGGGACAGAGUGACAGGUGGUGCAUGGUUGUCGUCAGCUCGUGUCGUGAGAUGUUGGGUUAAGUCCCGCAACGAGCGCAACCCUUGAUCUUAGUUGCCAGCAUUCAGUUGGGCACUCUAAGGUGACUGCCGGUGACAAACCGGAGGAAGGUGGGGAUGACGUCAAAUCAUCAUGCCCCUUAUGACCUGGGCUACACACGUGCUACAAUGGAUGGUACAAAGGGUCGCAAAACCGCGAGGUUGAGCCAAUCCCAUAAAACCAUUCUCAGUUCGGAUUGCAGGCUGCAACUCGCCUGCAUGAAGCCGGAAUCGCUAGUAAUCGCGGAUCAGCAUGCCGCGGUGAAUACGUUCCCGGGCCUUGUACACACCGCCCGUCACACCACGAGAGUUUGUAACACCCGAAGUCGGUGGGGUAACCUUUUGGAGCCAGCCGCCUAAGGUGGGACAGAUGAUUGGGGUGAAGUCGUAACAAGGUAGCCGU